ensembl:lncRNA
CCCCCUCCCAGAGCUUUUGUGGGUUGCAAAAGGUCUCUCAUGGACUUGCCCUGAGCUGCAAGCUGGGAUUUGUUCCUUUGUGGGGCUGCUUCCCCCGUUACCAUUAUUUACACCCACCGCUAUCAGUUCCUGACUAUCUGAGCACAGAGGGUUUGUUUAAACUGCUGCUGCUGCAUUUCCAGACCAUCUCACGGUCACCAGUUCCUGCUUGGCUCUUCCUGUCAGACGGGUUUGUCUGACUUCCUCCAGGGAUGGGUGAAGAUGGUGGAAUGGGUCUUAGGACUGGCGCCUAGAGGAGUUUCUGCCCUGAAACCAGCGAUGGCCAUGGCUUGUUCCUGCUUUGUCAGGCUGGGGAUUUAUGAUUGUCAUGUGCUAUUCAGGGAAUCCACGUGCUUGAUCCAUGUAGGACAGGGAAUCCCCACUCCUGAUGAUCCAUGACUGAUGCAAAACUCGGGCAGUUCAUAGCAGUAGCAAUAUUGCACCAUGCCCAGCACAGCCGUGCUGGCUUUCACUGCCAGCCCUUGUGUGCUGUUUCCCACAUCUUUGCAGGGAACACUGUCCAAGAUAUGACUGUAUCCCUGACUCUCCCAACCUCCUUGACACCCACAGAGACCGUGGCACUGCUGCCCAACACCAGCUCAAGCACUGCAGCCACCUUCCCUUUCUCUCGUCCAGAGAUGCCAAUGGAUACCUUCACACCCAAUGCUUCUACAGCUCAGCAGAGCAGCCUGGCAGCCUCCAACAUCACCAUGCCACAGGCAAGGGGCAGCACAGCUCACAGCACUCGUGUGUCGCCUGGGCUGGGACCCACCACCACCAGCACCACCCCAGCACAACUGGGACCCACCACUAGCACCACCCCAGCACAGCUGGGACCCACCACCACCAGCACCACCCCAGCACAGCUGGGACCCAGUACCACCAGCACCACCCCAGCAGGGCUGGGACCCACCACCAGCACCACCCCAGCACAGCUGGGACCCAGUACCACCAGCACCACCCCAGCACAACUGGGACCCGCUAUCACCAGCACUACCCCAGCACAACUGGGACUCACUACCAGCACUACCCCAGCAGGGCUGGGACCCACUAUCACCACACCCACUCCAACCUCCAUGGCCAUGACAUCUGACUGUGACAAGACUCCCACUUUCUCAUCUGCGGGGGCCAGCACCACCCUGGCUGUCAGCUCAUUUGGAGUUGAAAUGAGUAUGCUUCCUCCCCCCACCUCUACUCUUCUCUCCUCCACUGGGGUGGGCACCACACUUGGCACCAGCACUCACCAAGGGCCAGCUAUGACCACACUGCUUGGCAGCACAUCCCCAGGGACCAGCACCACCUCUUCUUCCACCACCCCAGGAGUGACAGGCACUUCAGAUGGGCCCUUGUUGACCCCAUCAGACACCAUGGCCUCCCUUGCUACCACCACAAAGCUCCCUGGGAGCAUCCCUGUCUCCAGCCAGCCAGUUGGGACCACGUCUAGGACCACUCCUGGUACCUCCACCCCAAGAGAACCAGAGAUCCCCAGUGACACUGCAGAGACCACUGUCAUGGGUGUGACAGCAACUGUGUCUCCACCUCUCCCUACUUCCUCAACACCUAUGGAGAGCUCAACACUGCUGCCUACCACUGACUCCAAGACCACAGCCACCCUCCUUUCCUCCAGCCCUGAAACAGAAUCCUCCACCCUAGAGGAGUCCAGCACAUCCGAAGAGACUGGCAACACCUCACCUCCCAGUGUGCCUCCUCCCUCCUCUUCAGCUGAGUCCAUGACAAGCCUGGCAGCCACAGACAGCUCUGUUAUCAACACAUCAGACCCCAUGAGCACUUCUUCAACCGACCCAGAUGGGACCACCCCUGACAUAUUCCCCUCAACUGUGGAGUCAACUCCAGACACUGAGCCCUCUUCCCCUGCCACCAGCUCAGCCCAGACCUCAGAGGCUACUACCCUCAGCACGUCUACAGAGCUGCCGACAACCUGCCCCUCUGGCUCGUCCAACACCAGUUCAUCUCACCUCUUUCUGUCACUGCGGCUAAGCACCCCUCUGGACCUGGGGAACACCACGGUGCAGGAGCUGGUGUUGUCCAAGCUCCGUGAGAACCUGCAAACAGCAUUCCCGUGUGCUGGCCUGUCACUGGCGUGGCGAGGGAAGAGGAGAACUUGACCACUGCCCCUCGCCUGGACUGCCAAGCCACCUGCUCCCAGCUCCUCACUCCGUGGUGGUGCAGGCCCCUGGGGAAUCCCACACAGCUCCUCUUGAACCUGGGGCUUCCUGUCUUUCACUCUGUACCCCCAGUCCCCUCCUGCCCCUUCCCACAGCCUGUCUGAAGAGCCUGAGCCCUCCCACCACCCUGCUCCAGACCUGGUUCCUGUGGUGGGAACCCCUCCAGCUCUGCUGGGGGGCUGGGAGAAGGGAACCCCACGGGACUGGGAUUUUACACCUGGGACUGAGCUGGCUCAGCCAUCAAAGCCACUCUGGGGACAGAGGAAUGAGGGGAAGGAGACCUGAAGCCCCCAGUACUGCUGUGCCCAAGGCUCACCUGUGAUAUUGCUGACAGAGAAGAACACCCAUGCUGGGCAGUAAAUAGAAAUUCCAUGUUUUCUGUGUUGAAGUGAUGACUUCUUUAUUUUCCAAGUUGUCUUUCCCAGUUUUCAGCUUUGCCAUCUAUUGGAGGUAGCGGUGAGGAAAACUGAGUCCCAAAAGCUUUGUGUGGAGAGACGGGCUCAGGGCUGUCCCCUCCCACCAGGGGCUGCUGCAGACAUUCCCAAGGAUGGCUCAACAGCCUGGUGGUCUCUGCUUUGGAGCUCUCUGCCCCAUGACACCCCACAGCUGCAGGGGCAGCACUGUGCACUGUGGGGCUGUGGAAAUCCCACGGGCUACUCUCCUUUCCUAUUUUUUCCAGUCCCCAACUAAGGAGAAGGCUGUAAUGUCUGUCCCCCUGCAGCAAAGUCAUUUAUUAACUGAUUAAUUAACCAGAUAAAAUCCAACUGAAGCAAUUAUUAGCCUAAGUAAGCCACCUCACCUGGAGAUUGAAAACUGAAAUAAUUAGCAAAAUAGCCUUGUUGCGUGUCAG